GCGAGAAGUGGCUUCGGCCAUGAGUACAGCGGCGAACGGGUGAGUAACACGUGGAUAACCUGCCUGGAAGUGGGGGAUAACUCGGGGAAACCUGAGCUAAUACCGCAUAAGCCUUCCGGAUCGCGAUCCGGAUUGGAAAGGUUGCCUCUUCUUCGAAAGCUAUCGCUUCCAGAGGGGUCCGCGCCUGAUUAGCUAGUUGGUGAGGUAAUGGCUCACCAAGGCAACGAUCAGUAGCCGGCCUGAGAGGGUGAUCGGCCACACUGGAACUGAGACACGGUCCAGACUCCUACGGGAGGCAGCAGUGGGGAAUAUUGCGCAAUGGGGGAAACCCUGACGCAGCAACGCCGCGUGGAGGAUGAAGGCCUUCGGGUCGUAAACUCCUGUCAGGUGGGAAGAAUAGGUUGCAGCAAACAACUGCAACUGUUGACGGUACCACCAGAGGAAGCCCCGGCUAACUCCGUGCCAGCAGCCGCGGUAAUACGGAGGGGGCAAGCGUUA
rnacentral:rRNA from 1 species